rnacentral:rRNA from 1 species
AACGAACGCUGGCGGCAGGCCUAACACAUGCAAGUCGAGCGCGCCCUUCGGGGUGAGCGGCGGACGGGUGAGUAACGCGUGGGAACGUGCCCUUUUCUACGGAAUAGCCUCGGGAAACUGAGAGUAAUACCGUAUACGCCCUUUGGGGGAAAGAUUUAUCGGAAAAGGAUCGGCCCGCGUUGGAUUAGGUAGUUGGUGGGGUAAUGGCCUACCAAGCCGACGAUCCAUAGCUGGUUUGAGAGGAUGAUCAGCCACACUGGGACUGAGACACGGCCCAGACUCCUACGGGAGGCAGCAGUGGGGAAUCUUAGACAAUGGGGGCAACCCUGAUCUAGCCAUGCCGCGUGAGUGAUGAAGGCCUUAGGGUUGUAAAGCUCUUUCAGCUGGGAAGAUAAGGACGGUACCAGCAGAAGAAGCCCCGGCUAACUCCGU